UUUUAGCACUGAGUUGCGUGAAGGAUUGAAGUGAAAAGCCCGGAACAAAAAACGCCAAUUUUCUUGAGCCAAAAAAGCGACCAACGGAAGCUCUUUUUGGGUUUUAGAAAAUGGCGUUUUUUGUGAGGACUUGUAACGGAAAGCCUGACCCUUG
rnacentral:sRNA from 1 species